UCUCUCUCUCUCUCUCUCUCUCUGUAUCUUUUGCAGUCUGCUAAAAGAAGAAGAAAUAUAUGAAAAUGGCAGCAGCUGGAACUAGAAGUAUGAUCAAUAGUGGAAAUUACUCACAGCAUCGUUUGAUUCCCAAGAGAGGUCAAGUGAAGGUGGCAAUAGUAUUGGGUCUUGCUCACUCUUUUGCUUCCAUCUUUUCUUUUUGCAACAGAAGGGCCGGUGUCCUCAGUUGAUUAUUAGCUGCCUAAACCCAUAUGCAGCCUCCAAAAUUUUGGUUGAAAGAGAUUAGAAACUUAAUUAGGAAUGAGAGCUGUUUGUUUUUCUUGCUCCAUCCAUCAUCUGUAAUAAUUAUUUGUUAAUUAUUUAGUUUCUCUUUUUGUACAGAGGGAAGUUUGGUUAAUGGGAUUCCCACUUUUCUUUUCAAAAAAAAAAAAAAAAAA
rnacentral:misc_RNA from 1 species